rnacentral:sRNA from 1 species
GCUGGGCAUGGUGGUGCAUGCCUAUAAUCCCAGUGACGUGAGAGGCUGAGGCAGGAGGAUCACAAGUUCAAAGCCAGCCUCUGCAAAAGUGUGGUGCUAAGCAACUCAGUGAGACCCUGUCUCUA